UCCCCUUGGCAAUGGGCAAAGAAACACCUUGUUGGUGAUGUUAUUCUUAUAUCAAUCAGGGCAGAGCAGAUGGCAGUCCUUUGUGCAUCCUAGCUGGAUGUCUGGCUUGGUGGCCAAAGCUGUUUUAUGCCCAUGACACAUAA
ensembl:snoRNA Gm23343 small nucleolar RNA SNORA48